AGAUGGGUCGGCGGCUGAUUAGGUAGUUGGUGAGGUAAAGGCCCACCAAGCCUUAGAUCAGUAGGGGCCUUGAGAGAGGGAGCCCCGAGAAGGGCACUGAGAUACUGGCCCUAGCCCUACGGGGUGCAGCAGGCGCGGAAACUCUACAAUGCACGAAAGUGUGAUAGGGGAACCCUAAGUGCUUAUACUUAGUAUAGGCUUUUGCCAAGAGUAAAUAUCUUGGCGAAUAAGUGGUGGGUAAGACUGGUGCCAGCAGCCGCGGUAACCCCAGCGCCACAAGUGGUAGCCACAAUUAUUGGGCCUAAAGCGUCCGUAGCCGGUCUUGUAAAUUCUUUGUGAAAUCAUCAUGCUCAACAUGAUGGCGUGCAGAGGACACUGCAAGACUUGGGACCGGGAGGAGUCAGGGGUAUUCCAGGGGUAGCGGUAAAAUGUUAUAAUCCUUGGAGGACCACCUGUGGCGAAGGCGCCUGACUAGAACGGAUUCGACGGUGAGGGACGAAAGCUAGGGGAGCGAACCGGAUUAGAUACCCGAGUAGUCCUAGCUGUAAACGCUGCGAGCUAGGUGUUGCGUAUUCUUAGAGAGUACGCAGUGUCGAAGCGAAGGUGUUAAGCUCGCCGCCUGGGAAGUAUGGUCGCAAGGCUGAAACUUAAAGGAAUUGGCGGGGGAGCAC
rnacentral:rRNA from 1 species